CCAUCCCUCCAUCCUUUCUCUCACAAUAACAACACAACAGUAAAGAAAAAAACUCCAUCCCACAAGGACUGGAAUGGUCUGACUGCAUUGACAGAGUUACGUUAGUUCCAGGGUUCAACGUAUAGAAUACAGACAGACAGACGGACGGACAGACAGUUGUAUGUACACACACACAGGGCUAUUCAUCCAGCAGGGCAAAAGUCGUGACCUAAAUGAGUAAUCUCUACCCAGAAACCCCUAGGGACUGUUUACAUCACAAGGCCUAAAUUAUUACAUCACAAGGCCUAAAUCAGGCCUGUCUAUCACCCCAUGGGUUUAAGCCCUUCCUCCUCAGAACCCACUCAUCUUUCCCUUUCAUCCCCUCAUUCUGCUGUCCCUUCCCUCAAUUAGCAAACUUUUUUCCUCUCACUCCCUCCAUUUCUGUGUUAACCAACACCAGCCUCCUGUUAAAACAAUGCAGCCAAGUGAUCCAGACAAGUGCUCAUCCCCAGCCAGCAGUGAUCACGUCCACAGCAGCUGCUGUUGUGCAUCUCACCACUCUCCGUCAGACUGUGGUUGUAGGACCACAAUAGCCCACUAAGGGGCGCCAAACAGCAUGCCUGCUGUGUAAACUUACAGUAGAUCAGUGUCCACUCAAAGCAGAAGCAGCUCCAAAGCACAGCUCCAGACUCACCACGGUGCCUGACCUUAGCAAUUAAGAGGAAACGCAAAUCUGACCUUAGAUCAGAUAUGAGAUAACUUGGUCAUAUACUAAUGCAUCCAGGCAAGCCUGUAAAUCAGUUAUUUCAGGCGAUAAUUCCAGUUGUACUGGAGAUUCUAAAGGAAAAUUAGCUACAACACUACCACAACAACAAUGGGAAUUACAAACUACUGACAAUAUAUACAUUUACAAUAAUAUAUUAUGUACAUAAAUUAAUUAAGGUAUUUAUUUAUCAAGACUAUAUUAGUGUGAGUCACCAUCAUUCCUUUCUGUACCAUCUUUCAUUUAGAGAGAUUUGCACUCAGUCUUUUCCCUCAGUAAUAAAUAAACUCUGUUGCAAUAGAUAGAGAGACAGAGGGAGAGAAGGGCAAGGAGAGGAGACGGGGGAGAGAGUGUAGAGUUGGGGCUGAGAGGGAAAGAUGUAGAGGGAGAGGAUGGUAAGGAGAGGAGACGGGGGAGAGAGUGUAGAGUUGGGGCUGAGAGGGAAAGAUGAAGAGGGAGAGGAUGGUAAGGAGAGGAGACGGG
ensembl:lncRNA